ACAUACAAAUAUGAACUGAGGGUAGAAAUAAUGUGGCUUUAUUCAGAUUCUUAACUCUGAGCUAUAUAGGAUGGAGUUAUAAUAGCUGCUUAGGUAUUUAAAUACUUAAUGAAAGUUAGGCUAGCCAAGUGAUUAAUUUUUUUAUUUGGCUGUGGCCACCUAUACCCUAAGAGACCUGUAGAAUGACCACCUGAUUCUUCAUUUCUUUGUGUUGUGCCUCCCAUCAUGUGCUUUAGCUUUGUGUGCUCUUCAUGAUUUCAGUUUUAUGUUCAUAGGAUCAGGUUUCUGAUGGGCUAAUAGUGAAUGGCAGUACUAAAUUGAUGCUUAGGUAGGUUAAAGUAUUUGUUUAUCAG
rnacentral:lncRNA from 1 species